rnacentral:lncRNA from 1 species
CAUGCAUAUACAUAAUAGUUAAAGAAACUUAGAAAGUAGAAAGAAAGUGAUUCUCCUAUAUUUAAUAUAGGUAGAGGCAGAACUUGGAUUCAGGUCUCUUAAUUCUUAGUCCAGUAUGAUUUCCUUUUUGUAUUUUAGUUCAAGUAGGAUCAUAAAAAGGAGAAAAGAGAAUAAUGAAGCAGCCUCUGUUAGCUGCCAUUCUCAUGGAAGAAGGAAAGUUUUGAGUACCAAUGAAAAAUGUUUGUACCAAGGAAGUGUUGGGCUGUGUCAAGUAACUAAGUCUGAGUAAGAAGACAUUGGAGAGAACACAAAUGGGAUAUGGGAUAUGUGACUGGCUGCCAAUUACACAAAACUGAGAAGUGAAAUGGACAGAGAUUUCUUAUUCAAAUAUGAGUAAGUUCAGUCUUUGGAUAAUUGGGUUAAUAAUUAUUUUUAUUUAUUAAAAUUCAUUUUAUGUUAAAUAUACAUUGAAAGAACAUGAUGAUAAUUGAUAAAAGAAAUAGAUAUAUACAUGAUCAAUUUAUGGAGUUGGGAUUAUUGAAUUCUUGUGUUGGUCAUAGUGCUUGGCACAUUUGUUAGAAAAACUAACACAGAAACAAUUCUUAUAAUGAGAUCCUAAAUGGUAGAUAUGGUGGGGAGAAAAAAAUUGAGAAGGUUAUAGUAGGGAUAAGUUUAGCUCUAUGACACUCUCUGAGGAGGUUCUCCAAUCUGAAAUCCAAGUUUUAUUAACCCUUGAGGAAUACCUACCCUCUAUAUGGAUCUUGCCACCCUCACCUUACCUUAUCAGAAAUUCCAGUCAUGUCUCUGAAGUUAAAUUUUGCCUAUAGAAUCCACUUAUGGUUCCUGCAAUGGAGUCAAGAUGACAGAGUAAAGUCAAAAAGCUGCUCAAGCACUACCAGUUUCCCUCAAAAACCAAUGAAAUAAGCCUUUGAACAGAAUACAAUGUAAUUAAAUCACUCUCCAAUUCAAGAUAGACUAGAAAAACUUCAAGAAAGGUUAGUCUCACUGGGGUGAAAAGAAUAUUCAACCCAGGUCAGAUAGAUUCUGAAAAAACUGGUAAGAGGAUUAUAACCACAGCAAAUCAGCAACUAAGAUCCUCAGUCCUGGCCCAAUGGAGGAGAAAUCAGUGGGGUAGCUUCCAGGCCCAGCUCAGAGGACAAACA